UCAUCCGCCUGGGAAGUCCGGUCGCAAGACUGAAACUUAAAGGRAUUGACGGGACCCCGCACAAGCAGUGGAGCAUGUGGUUUAAUUCGACGCUACGCGAGAAACCUUACCAGGGUUUGACAUGGUGGAUAAGGCCUCAGAGAUGAGGAGAUAAUACCCACACACAGGUGGUGCAUGGUUGUCGUCAGCUCGUGUCGUGAGAUGUUGGGUUAAGUCCCGCAACGAGCGCAACCCUCGUUUCUAGUUACCAUCAUUUAGUGGGGGAYUYUAGAGAGWCYSCCGAUGUAAAUCGGAGGAAGGKGGGGRWGACGUCAAAUCAKCAUGCCCUUUAUAUCCUGGGCGACACACGUGCUACAAUGGCCGGUACAAAGAGAAGCGAACCUGCGAAGGCAAGCAAAACUCGGAAAGCCGGUCUCAGUUCAGAUUGAAGUCUGCAAUUCGACUUCAUGAAGGCGGAAUUGCUAGUAAUCGCAGAUCAGCAUGCUGCGGUGAAUACGUUCCCGGGGUUUGUAC
rnacentral:rRNA from 1 species